UACGUAGGGUGCGAGCGUUAAUCGGAAUUACUGGGCGUAAAGCGUGCGCAGGCGGUUUUGUAAGCCAGAUGUGAAAUCCCCGGGCUCAACCUGGGAAUGGCAUUUGGGACUGCAAGGCUGGAGUGCGGCAGAGGAGACUGGAAUUCCUGGUGUAGCAGUGAAAUGCGUAGAUAUCAGGAGGAAUACCGAUGCGAAGGCAGGUCUCUGGGCUGAC
rnacentral:rRNA from 1 species